GCCUGGGUGGCUCAACUGGUUAAGCAUCCGACUUCGGCUCGGGUCAUGAUCUCACGGUCAUGAGUUCGAGCCCCGUGCCGGGCU
rnacentral:tRNA from 1 species